rnacentral:lncRNA from 1 species
AGCAGAUCUCAGAGGAUUAUUAUGCUUGAUGCUGCUGUUAGAGAUAUUUGCUGUCUUACAGGCAAAGGAGAGAUUGUGGAAAAAGAAUGGGAUAGAGGUCUCUAACCCAGGCUGGAGUUCAUUGGCACAAUCUCAGCUCAUUACAGCCUUGACCUCCUGGACUCAAGCCAUCCUCCCACCUCGGCCUCCCAAGUAGCUGAAACCACAGCUCACAAUUCUCUGAUGGGCUUGCCUACUCAUUUAGCCCUUCAUGAAGUCCCUGAGCUGCCUUUUUCAUCUGGAGUCUCCAUGCACAACGGUGAAAAGUGCAUCUUUUAUCUCACCUGAGACAGUGUCUUGCUGUAUCACAAAGCCAGAUCCAGUGCUGGGAUCACAGCUUGUUGCAGCCUCCAACUCCUGGGCUCAUGGAAUCCUCUUGCCUCAGCUUCCCUAGCAGCUGGAACUACAGCUCUAAUGAAGAAAUGGUGGUGACAAUUCUAGAAAAGAAAAUGCCAAAGAUGGAAAACCUUUAAAAUAUAACUUAAAGGUGAAGAAGACCACCUGGACCGGCCACCAUGCAAGAUCAAAGAAAAGGCCCAAAAUAUGGCAAAAGUAAGAUUGCUAAGGCUGUCCAAACACUCCCACCUCCAGUUUGAAAAUUCUAGAUACUGAUUUUGCUUUUGAUUUUGUUAGCUGUCUUGCAAGGACACUCUGCAUAUAGGUAAAAUCUAUAUUAUGCCUGUCUAGCUGUGAGCUGUCAAAUGAUGUUGCACUUGCUAAUUCAUGGACUAUUUAUCUUUGUGUUUAUGCUCUAACAAAAUGAUGGCUGUUUAAUUAUACUACAAAUGAGUUUUGCCAGCCAAUUGUAUGGCAGAUGUUAUUUACUUCCAGAACAACUGUCAGAAGACCAAAGCAGAACAUCUAACAAACUAAAAUGUACUGUAUUGGGUUACAUUUCACAGGCAACCGCCUCUAUCACCUAGCUACAGGCUUUCCAUUGUAAUAAAAAUGGGAGGGGCAGCAUCAUUGAGUAUAACAGCCAGCCAGAAAUCUGGUUGUCAAUAUUGAAUAAGAUUAAGAGUUGUAACUGAGUAGAUUCUACCUGGAGAAUAAAACAAGGAACUGUAGUAAACAUGAAAAAAAAGAUCCUUCAAAUUUGCUAAAUGCUAUGGUGUUACAGCAUUCAUUAACUAAUUCCAUAAUGGCAGAUGGGAAGAAAAAACAUCUAUCUUCUCUAUUUGUAUGGUAACUGAGCAAUAGUCACUGAAGUAUCAUUUUUCUCAUGAAAUUUAUGAAUGAUGUAAAGGUGGAGAGAAUGCCUAUAGUUGGAGGGUACCAUAACUUGAACCCAGGAAGCAAACUCACAAUAAACUUGUUCUGUGUAUUGUUUAAACUUUUCUAAGCUUGUGGGAACAUUUUAUUAUGCCUACCACUUGCUUCAAAUAAAAUUUUCCAGGGAGAGCGCUGCUAUGGCCCUCUUUUAUGUAGUGUGCUGGUAACAUGCCAAGGUUUUUAAUAAGGAGAAAAAAUAAGAACUCUUAAAAGUUUAAAGCCCAAUAAUCUAGGAGCUAAAAUCUGAUUAAGUAUAAAAUAAUGAAUUAAAUGAUUCAGUAGCAGAUAAAAUAGAAACAGAGUCCAAGAAAUAACUCUUACCAAUUUAAUUUUGCCUACUGCAACAAAUUGGAAUAAUAUAUCCCUGUUUUGCAAGAAAAUAUUGAGGCAAAAAAUAGGCCCUCAUUUCUUUCAGCCAGAAUUACAUGCCAUUGUGAAAGAUCAACUGCUUGACUUUCUUACUGCGAGUAAUGUGAAAGAUUUCCCUAUAUAACCCUUGUCCAUAGCUCAUUUCUAUAUAACAUAUUGGCUUUAUGAAGAGACAAGUGAUUUAUAAUGAUUUAUAGACCUCUAAUGUAUGCCCAUAAAUCCAAUCCAUUAUUCCAUAGUUUCUUCCCAGUUUGCCUCAUUCUGGGAACAAGCAAAAUGAAAGCUUUGUUUAGCUAGGGAAAAUGGAUGACCUAGUGUUCUGUCUUUUCUGGCAUUUCUUACAAGUAGGAACCUCAUGUUUGAGACACAAGCAUCUGCUGACUUAGCAGGAAAACAGAGCGACUAAUCAUAGAGCUGAGGGUAGCUGUCAGAUUUUGAAGCAUUUAUAUUUACAUUCCAAACCAAAAUGAUGAGAAUUUACUUAACAAACUCUUACCUUGGCUUCCUUAUUCUUCUUUUACUUUUUCUCCUGCAUGCCCCUUAUAUAUUAUUAUUUUACAAUGAGAAUACAAUUUAUUAGCUACUAAUAUCUAUAAACUGAAAUUAUUCUGGAUCAUGUGACGAAAAAGUUACUUUUCUAACUUAACUAAGACACAGAGAUACAGGGUGUGACUUGAAUGAAUA